AUGAUUUUCUGGAGUUUAUUCUCAAUGCUUUGUAUUCAAGGAGUUUGGAGUGAGAUCAAACUGGAGCAGUCUCCCUCUGAGGUGAAAAGACCUGGAGAGACAGUGAAGAUGUCAUGUAUCAUAUCUGGUUUUACCCUGACAGACUACUAUAUUCACUGGAUAAGACAGAGGCCAGGGAAAGCUCUGGAGUGGAUUGGGAGGAUGAGCACAGGUUCAAACUCUGCUAUCUACGGCAGCUCCUUUCAAAGUCGAUUCAUCAUAACUGAAACUGCGUCCAGCAGCAAUCAGUACCUCGAGAUCAAGAGUCUGACAGAAGAAGAUUCUGCUGUUUACUUCUGUGCUCGUGAAAGCACAGUGACUGAAGAUAGUGAAGAAGCUGCACAAAAACCUCCAAACAAGUAA